AAAACGACUCUCGGCAACGGAUAUCUCGGCUCUCGCAUCGAUGAAGAACGUAGCGAAAUGCGAUACUUGGUGUGAAUUGCAGAAUCCCGUGAACCAUCGAGUCUUUGAACGCAAGUUGCGCCCUAAGCCGUUAGGCCGAGGGCACGCCUGCCUGGGUGUCAC
rnacentral:rRNA from 2 species